rnacentral:rRNA from 1 species
GAUGAACGCUGGCGGCGUGCCUAAUACAUGCGAGUCGAGCGAACAGACGAGGAGCUUGCUCCUCUGACGUUAGCGGCGGACGGGUGAGUAACACGUGGAUAACCUACCUAUAAGACUGGGAUAACUUCGGGAAACCGGAGCUAAUACCGGAUAAUAUAUUGAACCGCAUGGUUCAAUAGUGAAAGACGGUUUUGCUGUCACUUAUAGAUGGAUCCGCGCCGCAUUAGCUAGUUGGUAAGGUAACGGCUUACCAAGGCAACGAUGCGUAGCCGACCUGAGAGGGUGAUCGGCCACACUGGAACUGAGACACGGUCCAGACUCCUACGGGAGGCAGCAGUAGGGAAUCUUCCGCAAUGGGCGAAAGCCUGACGGAGCAACGCCGCGUGAGUGAUGAAGGUCUUCGGAUCGUAAAACUCUGUUAUUAGGGAAGAACAAAUGUGUAAGUAACUAUGCACGUCUUGACGGUACCUAAUCGGAAAGCCACGGCUAACUACGUG